AACCACCGUCCUGCGACUGUUUAUAGUCAGUGUGUGGGAGCUGAACCUUGCAUCAUUUGCUUAAUGGGUUUCUUCCCCUUCCCCUGGAAACAGGAAAAAGAAUGUUAGCUUUCUCCAGGAGCCUUCAGCAACAAGGCUCAAAUCAUUUUCCCAGCCUAGCCCAGCAAACAAAGAUGCUUACAUUCUCCCCGGCACUGCAAACAGCUUUUCAGUGGCAGCUGGUCCUAGGAUUAGGCUCCCCUCCCCCUGCCCUGGUCCCAGUGCAGAUCCACAGAUCUCCAGGUUCAUUCCCUCCCUGUACACAGGCUCUUUGUAAACGGAAAGAAGAAUCUGCAAAACAAACAAACAAACAAACAAAAACCCAUGACCUUCAUCCGUGGGAACCAGGUUUUAGGGAGAAAGCCUGAACUUCCAGAUGGGGACAAUGAUGAUGAUGUCAUAGCAGACAUAAGUAACAGGAAGAUGGCGAAACUCUACAUGGCAGCAUGGAUCUUUGGGAGCCGGAUGCUUGCAUCUCACAGGGGCAGCUGGGGCCAUUUCUGAGUGGAUGAAGAGUGGUAACUGUAUUCCUACAAUUACCAUGGUCCCCCAUCACAUUAACCUGAUUGUGGAAACAUGUCUGGUCUACUCUGCUUAAUCAUAUCAACAUACCAAAGAAGGAUCGUCCGUACAUGAGCUUCUGGAUGUACACAGGAGGAAAUUGCACAAGCACAGCAUGGGGCCAUGGGAUAGCCACAUCGUCAGAAAGACCUGGCUGAGCAGUGACACCAUGAAUAAGACUCUCACACUGAAGAGCUGUAAGCGGACCUUUAGCUGUGCCCAAGGCUCUCAGACGGUGAGAAGUGAGGCUUUAAAUCUACUGUUUUGCUUGGAGUCAAAGCCGUGUUUACUACCUUGCCUAUUUACUACACAGUCCCAAAUAUAUGCACUUUAAUGUCAAAAUCACUUCCAGAAGCCAGCCACUGACAAUAUCCUACUGUCUCAGAAGUUGUAUCUGUUGAAACUUACAUGCAUUCAAACCAGAUGUCCAACAACAAGGAAGUGGUUUUAGUAAAGUAAGAUACAUCAAGAGCAUGGAAUAUUAUGGCCAUAUUAAACUUGUAAUUCUGAAGUUCUGUUUCGAGACAUAAGAUGGCAUGAUGUUUUAUGGAUGAAUACAUAAAAGCUUUGUGUGUGUAUCCUAAAGAAGUUGGAUAUGCAUGAACUCCUUUAAAAUAUUUCAUCUUGGUGGGAAAUCAGAGCCCUGUUUGCUUCCUGUUCGCCUUGAAGACCAGCCAAGACCUCAUCUGCCACAUCCAAUAAGGUGGCAGUUGGAGAACCUCGUGCUAUUUUUCACAUGGCCAAAGCAAGCUGUUGGAUCCUGUGGGACACAAAAAGAUGGCUGACUUUGGUCUGUGCAAGGAAAAUAGCUGGGAAGGAUUGACACUCCAAACAUUCUGGGGGGGCACUCCAGACUGCACUGCAGAGAAAUCAUUGCUAAUCAGCCUCUGGAAGGUCUGUGGGUGGGUGGGCCGUCAGAGUAUUGCUGUACAAAAUGUUGGCCAGGCAGGCCCUUUGUAGGGGGAAGAUGAACUUGUCUGGUGUGCAAGACAAUGGGGCUUGAUCCCGUAGCCUAUGUCUGAGAAGGCAGUGUCCAUCUGCAGAGGGCUAAGGACAAGACACCCAGAUAAAUGUGUUGAAGUCCUGAGGGGAACGUGAUGUGAAAGUAUGUUUAUGGUAUAUUUAUUGAGACAAACUUCAACACACAGCGCUUUCCACCUCAGUAUGAACCCAAAGCUCCUCUUGAUAAGAUUUCCAACUUCAGGAAGACUUCCAGAGAAGAAUACCAUUCCAGUAACAAUGGGAAGUUGAGAACGGCCACCAAUGGUCCAGAAAAAAAAAAAGAAUAGAGCUUAGUUUUUGCUUUUAAAAGGGUGUGGGGUGAGGUGGGAAUUUUGUGAUGGCAAGUGCCACUGGAAAGGGUGAUUCCCAACUUAGUUACAUGCGCUGUCAAUGCCAUUGGGUCACAACAUUGUUCAGUACACUGGGGCCUUUUGUUCUCUAACUGUAUAUUCCAAGCUUGUGAAUUAGAAUUAAGUCUCUCCGAUUUGUCCAG
rnacentral:sRNA from 1 species